AGGGGAAACGACAUCGAAAGCUUGCUUUUGAUGGGCGUCGACCGGCGCACGGGUGAGUAACGCGUAUCCAACCUGCCCUGGAGUGGGGGACAACAGUUGGAAACGACUGCUAAUACCGCAUAAGCCCACGGCCCGGCAUCGGAAUGGGAUUAAAGAUUUAUCGGUGAUGGAUGGGGAUGCGUCUGAUUAGCUUGUUGGCGGGGUAACGGCCCACCAAGACAGCGAUGGAUAGGGGUUCUGAGAGGAAGGUCCCCACAUUGGAACUGAGACACGGUCCAAACUCC
rnacentral:rRNA from 1 species